AGCAGCCUCGGUUUUCCCACCACCUCCAAAUCAUGCAAGACACAGGGCAGAGCCCCCGGAGCCAUGGCCAGCCCUUCCGGCAGCUCCAAAGCCACUGGCAAGCCCCGAGGCAGGGAUGGCCGGCCCAGGAGAGAGGAGGACGACGUCACUCCCGAAGAGAAGAGGCUGCGGCUGUUGCUGGAGGAGGGAAGCGCACAGCCCGAUGACGGGGAGGACGCACCGCGGCCAGGCAGGAAGGAGACCGGCACCCAGACAGGUGGCGACGGCAGAGGAGAAGGAAAAUACAUGUACAGCCAACUUCCUUGAGGAUUCGUUCUUUUGCAUCAGGGUGUCUCAAACUCCUGCCCUUAAAACACCUGCAAGAGAAUCAUCCAGGUGGCUUGCUCACUCUGCAUGCAGACCCUUUAGAAUCAGAGUCAGAAUCCCUGGGGCUGGAGCCACAAAAUGAAAUGACAUUUCAACAAGUUUGUCAUCACGUAAGAGAGAAUAGGGCUUCCGCUGGGACUAGGAUCAGGAUGUGGACACCCCCAACAUGGACCAUCUGGCCGGGGAGGGCGUCAAGGCCAAGUACCUCAUGCCGCCCCUUGUCACAAUGACCUCCCCGUUCCACUUCACUGCCAUGCCAGUUCACCCAUUCUCCCCAG
rnacentral:lncRNA from 10 species